AGUAAAAGUCGUAACAAGGUCUCCGUAGGUGAACCUGCGGAGGGAUCAUUACCGAGUGAGGGUCGCCCCCGCGCGCCCGACCUCCCAACCCUUUGAUGUGAUCAAGACCUCUUAUGCCUCGGGGGUGACCCGGCCUUGCGCCGCGGUCCCCCCGGUGGACACCAACCAAAACUCUGCAUCAGUUGUCGUCUGAGCAUAAAGUUAAUUCAAUUAAAACUUUCAACAACGGAUCUCUUGGUUCUGGCAUCGAUGAAGAACGCAGCGAAAUGCGAUAAGUAAUGUGAAUUGCAGAAUUCAGUGAAUCAUCGAAUCUUUGAACGCACAUUGCGCCCUUUGGUAUUCCGAGGGGCAUGCCUGUUCGAGCGUCAUUACACCAAUCACGCCUGGCGUGGUAUUGGGCGACGGGAUUGCUUCAGUGUCUCCCGCGCCCCAAAGACCUUACCGGCGGGACGGACCGAAUCUCAGCGUUGUGAAUCUUUACGAGUCGCUGGCGAGACGGGACGGCCGUGCCGUUAAACCCCCCAUUUUCUUCUGGUUGACCUCGGAUCAGGUAGGGAUACCCGCUGAACUUAAGCAUAUCAAUAAGCGGAGGAAAAGAAACCAACAGGGAUUGCCCCAGUAACG
rnacentral:rRNA from 1 species